rnacentral:rRNA from 1 species
UACGUAGGGUGCGAGCGUUGUCCGGAAUUAUUGGGCGUAAAGAGCUCGUAGGCGGUGUGUCACGUCGGCCGUGAAAACCUGCAGCUUAACUGUGGGCGUGCGGUCGAUACGGGCAUCACUGGAGUUCGGCAGGGGAGACUGGAAUUCCUGGUGUAGCGGUGAAAUGCGCAGAUAUCAGGAGGAACACCGGUGGCGAAGGCGGGUCUCUGGGCCAUAACUGACACUGAGGAGCGAAAGCAUGGGGAGCGAACAGG